rnacentral:lncRNA from 10 species
CUAGGGUCUCAGUAUUCUAGGCAGCUGUGAGCAUCUUGCCUCAAGUAAACUACUUAAAGUUAUAUUUUGUGCCUCAGCUUCUUCCUUUAGGUGAACACCAGCAAAUGGCUGGAGGAAGGGUGGACAAAGAGGAUACAAGGUAAUACAUGGGAAAUGCUCAAUUCAGCAUCUAAUAGGAGAGGUCAACAAAGUUUUCUGAAGGAGAUAGGAGCCAUACAGAGAGUAAAGAGCACAUAUAAACCCAUGGAAAAAAUAAAAACAUGGUAGCACACUGGAACACCUAAUGGAAGUUGGAAGAGAAAAAAAUUAUCUGGGUGGCAGAAAAAAAAAGAAGAUGGAAAAGAGAGAAAGCUGUUCUGGAGCUUGGAGGAUGUGCUCCACCAAAACAAGGGGCUAAACUGAGAAACAGGAAGACGAGAGAUCCAGAAAAGGAGGUAAAACUUGAGAGAGAGAGUUAAAGUGGAUCCCCAGCAUGACAAAAUGACCCUAGGAUGGCAGCUGUGCUCCAGUUCCAGAGGAUGAGCAGUUUUAAAUGAAACAGGCUACAGAGACCCUGGGGAGAUGUUAAGAAAAUGCAGUUGGUGGAAUACCUGUUACAGGUAAAUGAUUUAUACCAGAGUUUGCACAUUUUUCUUGAAGGACCAGAUAGUGAACAUUUCGGACUUUGCAGGCCGUAUAGUCUCUGUUACAACCAUUGAACUCUGUCAUUAUAAUAUGGAGUGAAAGCAGCCAUAGAUAAUACAGAAACUAAUGGGUGUGGCUGUGUUCCAGUAAAACUUUAUUUAUAAAAAGAUAAACAAGCUAGAUUUGACUUGCAGGGCAUUGUUUGCUGAGUCCUAUUUUGAACAAGGUGAGUGAACUCAGAGUAUAAAUUAGUUGUGAUUUCAUAGCAAUCUAAGCACAUAAAAAGCCAAGAUAAGUUUUAACUCUAUAGAAAACAAAAUUUUUAAAAUGUUUCUCCUAAAAUAUCAAGAUAAUUGUGCAUAUGACAUGGCUCACCUGUGAAUGAUCUUUAUACAAUCACAAUCAUGUAGACACUGAAUACUCCUCUACCCCAGUUUGUGAUAUAACCAUGUGGGAAGUACAUGAGGGGUGGGAGGGGUGACAGAAAGAGCAUGGGUCUUGUUUGCUGUGGUGGGAAGCCUAGAGGUAACACCCAGAAGGCAGAAUCAAGAAGUAGCCACAAAGCCAUAUCAUUUAGGUGCAUGACAGAACACCUCAAUAACAAGAAGUAAGGGUUGGAACAGGAGGCUCAGUGAAGAGCAAUUUAGGAGAGUCUCUGGCGGCCUGGAGAGAACUGUCUCAACUUCCUGAGCCUACCUCCAGGGCCUCUGCCCAGACCAGACCUCCUGGGAGCAGAGCACGCUGUGACACUCCUAAAGUGGAGGCUUGCCAAGGGGUGCAGAUGGAGCUUGGACAUGUGGUCAGGGUGC